AAACUCACCAGAUAAGACAGCUGAAUGAUAGUCGGGCUGAAGACUCUACUUGACUAGCUGAGAGGAGGUGCAUGGCCGUCGUCAGUUCGUACUGUGAAGCAUCCUGUUAAGUCAGGCAACGAGCGAGACCCACGCCAACAGUUGCCAGCUCGUCCUCCGGGAUGGUGGGGACACUGUUGGGACCGCCUCUGCUAAAGAGGAGGAAGGAAUGGGCAACGGUAGGUCAGCAUGCCCCGAAUUAUCUGGGCUACACGCGGGCUACAAUGGGUGGGACAAUGGGUAUCGACACUGAAAGGUGAAGGCAAUCUCCUAAACCCAUCCGUAGUUCGGAUUGUGGGCUGCAACUCGCCCACAUGAAGCUGGAAUCUGUAGUAAUCGUGUCUCAAAAUGGCACGGUGAAUAUGUCCCUGCUCCUU
rnacentral:rRNA from 1 species